AUAAAGAAAAGAAAUGAAAUAAUAGUGAGGCCAAUACAUUGAAACCUGUCCCCACCACCACCACCCAAGAAAAACAAAAACAACAACAAUAGCAAUGAAAGACAACGACAUACAUUCUUCUACCAAGCAAUCAUAGAAAUAACUCUACUGUCAAAUACCACAAGAUACAGAACCCUAUGAAAAGAAAGAAAGAAAGAAAGAAAGAACGAAAGAAAGCGAAACUCCAAUACAAAUUAAAGCACACCUGCAUAAACAUUUAGAUCUAUACAAGUAUGGGACAAGGCCAACAAUUCUGAGAGGUGGUCGAUGAAAUCGACCCCAAUACUUGACUGGUACUUGUUUUAUUGACCCCGAAAAGAUGAAAGGUAAAGUCAACCUCAGUGGCAUUUGAAAGUGGAAAGUAAGCAAAGAUCCGGAAGAAAUAUCAGUAAAAAUGUGUCCAGCGUGGUAACGAUUCUGCAGCUCAUCGCUUUAAAACGCUGUCAAAUUUUGGUACAAGGUCAGCAAUUUUGGGGGGAGAUGUUGAUUACAUCAACCCAAGUGUUCAACUUAUUUUCUUGAUCUCAGAAAUAUGAAAGGCAAGGUCAACCUAGACUGCAUUUCAACGCAGAACGUAAAGAGUCUGAUGAAAUGUCGCUAAGUAUUCUGCCUGGCAGCGUAACGAUUCUGCCAGUUCAUUGCCUUACUUAUCGCAAAUAUAAUGAAUUCGGUAACUGUUGUUUUUGAGAUUUUAAAUUUGAUUCCCUUUCUAGGCAGGUUCGUUUUUCGUCACAUGUUGGUCGAUAAAAGAAAUAUGAAGACAGUAUAUAUGAUCUAAAGAAUAAAAAAUAUUUUAAUUCUCAUAA